AUCCUGGCUCAGAUUGAACGCUGGCGGCAUGCCUUACACAUGCAAGUCGAACGGCAGCACGGGGCAACCUGGUGGCGAGUGGCGAACGGGUGAGUAAUGCAUCGGAACGUGCCAUUGAGUGGGGGAUAACGUAGCGAAAGUUGCGCUAAUACCGCAUAUUCUGUGAGCAGGAAAGCAGGGGACCGCAAGGCCUUGCGCUCUUUGAGCGGCCGAUGUCAGAUUAGCUAGUUGGUGAGGUAACGGCUUACCAAGGCGACGAUCUGUAGCGGGUCUGAGAGGAUGAUCCGCCACACUGGAACUGAGACACGGUCCAGACUCCUACGGGAGGCAGCAGUGGGGAAUUUUGGACAAUGGGCGCAAGCCUGAUCCAGCCAUGCCGCGUGAGUGAAGAAGGCCUUCGGGUUGUAAAGCUCUUUCGGCCGGGAGGAAAUCGCAUGGGUUAAUACCCUGUGUGGAUGACGGUACCGGAAUAAGAAGCACCGGCUAACUACGUG
rnacentral:rRNA from 1 species